UACAGAGGGUGCAAGCGUUAAUCGGAAUUACUGGGCGUAAAGCGUGCGUAGACGGUCAUGUAAGUCGGGUGUGAAAGCCCCGGGCUCAACCUGGGAAUUGCAUUCGAGACUGCAUGGCUAGGAUGCGGAAGAGGGAAGCGGAAUUUCCGGUGUAGCGGUGAAAUGCGUAGAUAUCGGAAGGAACACCAGUGGCGGAAAAGCGGCUUCCUGGUCCCAGCA
rnacentral:rRNA from 1 species